CUGCUAUGUUUCAACUUGGGAAACAAGACCUUUCCCAGCAGCUGGAUAUUAAAUUGUUUUAUCUUGCUUUUGAACUUCUUUUAGAAAGAUUAGCAGAAAGCAUAGGUAAAGGUUAUCUUGCUGUUCCCUUUCUCAAAAAGAUUGCUGCAUGUUUGAUGAAAGGUUUUGCAAGCCAGUGGCCUCAGGUAAAACCUCAAUCAAAAUUGCUAGACUUAAAUCUGUGGCUAUUUCUAAGGAAUAACAGAACGAGCAAGUUUGACAGAAAUAGACUUCAAGAUUUUAUUGCAAAAUCUGUGAAGAUAAAGAUCUCUGUAACCUUGCUCUGUCAACAAUGGAUCUGAAGAGGUAUGAGUUACCCAAAUGAAGUCUGCCAUAAAACUGUGAGCAAUGUCAGCACAUUUAAGGAAACAGCAGAAUGCAUCAGCUGAUAGAAGUGAGCAGUCCUUUACAAACGUCGGUGCUUCUAUGCAGAUUUGCAUGAGUUGAUGUUGUGCCAGAGGGGAAGAUGCAUAUCUUCAGUGAGUGACUGAAACAGGACAGAAACUUCCACAAGAAAUGAUCAUUAUGAACUCAUGUGACUGGUUUGGUAUUUCAGAGAUGAAGAAAGAAAGAGACUUGUGUUCACGUCUGAGUCUCAUACCCAGUUACAUUCUGGGUUACUUAGAACUCCCUCAGCUACUGAUGGGAGCUUUACAAAUUAAGAAUGACAAAAAGCAAGAAGCAAGCAACUCUUUCUUCAAAACUAAAGCCAUUUCCAUUCUUGAUAGUAAGUCAGCCUAAAGAACAAGUCCAAAAAAAUCCAGAGUACGAGCUUAAAGAAACCAUUUUCACUUCUUUUUUUCCUAAAGGAACACUAAAUCAUAGAGGAAGAACAAUUUCGAUGGCAGCACCAUUUAGAACUACAUUCUGUGGCUAAUUGCUGUGAAGUGAGGAGCAAAAUCUCAUUUCUUUCAGUCUAUAUCAGAGACUUGUUCAGAGCCUGCAACACAAACCUAAGGAUUCCAGAUUCCCAUACUCUGCUUUGGCCAUUUUAUUUCACCUGUUAGCUAUUUUAUGACAAGAAAAAUUGAGGCUGGAGGAAGAACUCUACCAACUGAAGAAAGAUGACUUUCACAACUGGCAAUUUAAGACAGACUGUCCCUGCACCAGCAUAAUGCAGCUCACGCCCAAGGAGAACACGGUGACAAGGCACUAUUUCUGCUGCUCUGUGCCUGGACUGACGUCAGAUCACUGUUGCCAGGCAUUCAGGGUAUGCACGCUGCCUGUAGCAAAGCAAAAGCAACCAACCAAGCAAAAGAAAAUAAAAUUACUUGCUGGCAAAUGGUAACUCUCUAUAGUAGAGAUGAAGUUUUAGCUCUGGUCCCACCUGCUGCAGAACACUGCAUUCCCUGGAAAAGAUCAUUUGGAAGCUGCCUGUUUCGAUCAGGCAGGGCUGCUGCCUUCCUGCUGACUGACACUUGGUGGCACUACAGUUCAGUUGUUGACUGGAUACCUGAAAAACUGGCUUCUGCUACCCAGCAAUUGACUUCUCAUCCAGUAUAAGAACAUUUGGGGUCUAACCACUAAAAAUUCUGGUCAUUUUGCCUUUAACCUGAAUGAGGUCUACCUGAACAGAUCUAAGGCUUGGAGAUAUCCCACAGCUGGACUCAACUGAAGUGACAAAAAGAUGAGGCCAAGUCCCUCCUGAACCUAUUCAUACAAAACACUGACUAAAAUAGAAGCCAGCAAGAUUUAGCCCAUGGUGACAGUGAUGCAAUGGAAAGCACAGCAAUGACAGCAGAGCAGCAAGGUCCCAGGCUGCAACAAGCAAGAACUUGCUCAAAUGCAACAGCUAUAGGCACAAAAAUAAAGGAAAGAAGCUCCUUACCUUCAGAAGGCCUCAGGUACACAAGGAUCUCCAACAAGAUCCCCUUGCCUCCACUAACAACCCUUAAAUGAGGGCUGGGAAGGGGUGGAUCCUGGCUGCAGCCCUUUGGGUCUCUCAGGUACAUUGCAUGCACCUGAGCUCCGCUGGGCUGGCCCUGCUUUCCCACCAGGUGCUCCAUCACCACUGCAAGCUGUGACUUGGUAUUUCUGCUACAGUGACUAAAAACUGAAAUCCUAUAGAAUGGUUCUUGCUUAUUCUGAAAACAUUGCUUACAGUGGCCCUGUGGUCUAUGAACAGAUAUCUCUACCCUUUAAAAGUAAUGAAAAACAUCCAGGCUGAAAUAUGAUGUCUGCUGCAACACGGUGAUUCAAAGCAAGAGAAGCUGAGAAUAUGUUAGCAGCCUGAUAAGACAGGCCUCUUUCACUCAAUAGCUUUUUCUUUCAUGUUUGUUAACCUCCUUAAUUCUAAAAUAAAAAUUCAUCACAGCUUCAGUCAUCACAGAGUCGUCUUCACACAACCAUUUCUGCCACUGUUUUGCAUUUCAAAAGAACACAUUGCAAAUGUGAAAGAGUAGAAUAUAGGAAGUGUAAAAAAAGUGUAAGGACACAGGUGUGUAGAAAUAAACAUUGCUGAGCACUGAAACAGUAUUGAAUAGACAGGUAUUUAGGAUACAAGGUUGGUUUAAUGUGUGGUCCUCAGGCACUGCUGUUACUAUUACUGACUUAAAAGCAUUGGUAUGGCAACUCCAAGUUCCCCAGAUAUUUAUGACCCUUCCA